UACGGGGGGGGCAAGCGUUGUUCGGAAUUACUGGGCGUAAAGGGCUCGUAGGUGGCCAACUAAGUCGGACGUGAAAUCCCUCAGCUUAACUGGGGAACUGCGUCUGAUACUGGAUGGCUUGAGUUCGGGAGAGGGAUGCGGAAUUCCAGGUGUAGCGGUGAAAUGCGUAGAUAUCUGGAGGAACACCGGUGGCGAAGGCGGCAUCCUGGACCGACACUGACGCUGAGGAGCGAAAGCCAGGGGAGCAAACGGG
rnacentral:rRNA from 1 species